rnacentral:lncRNA from 1 species
AGUUGUGCCUUCCUCAUGUCAUGUUCAUCCCAAUCCUUUUCUAGUUUGGGUACCUUGACACCCUCUACAUAUAUGGAUGGGAUGUAUGGCCCAUUUACUACAAUGGUCCACAUCUCAUAGUCUUGGGCUUGGAUGAAUAUUCUCAUCCUAGCCUUCCAGUAUGAGUAGUCGGAUCCAUUAAAGAAAGGGAGUCUUUGGGUGGACUGACCCUCAAUGUGGGAAGAUCCAAAUGGGGUUGUCAUUUUGAUCUUUGACUCUUGGGUGGAAGAGUUUAGGCUCUGAUACCACUUGUUGCCCAGAUAGACAA